CUGUAUAUACAUUAUGCAUGUUUUAAUGUUAUGAUUUAAUCCUCGACUGUGCUAUGGAUGUUCAUUGUGUGUUUUCUUUGUCAAUACAUAUUAUCAAAUUUAACAUUAUUCAUGCAAAAAUAUAAAUACAAGCAAUAAUUUGAACAAUUGACAGUCCAAGGACAAUUUCUUUCAUGGCUUUCUAAGUUCGGCUUCUAAUAUAUCUUCCCAGUCCUCUUUAUUCAUUG